AAAGACGUUUUGAAAUUUCAUUAGCACCAUGGCAAGACACAACCAUCACGAUUAUAUCGAUAAAGUUCGAAACCAAUCUGAAAAUGUAUGUACAAGUUGUAAGAUGUUUACCGCGAAUAUAUAUUUGAUGGAAAAUUAGAACGAAUAGCCAUCUAUACGGUAAACGUUAAAGACGGCCCCACUGAAUAUCGAGGUGAGAUAUAUACUCGCAGCAAAUACCUCGUACAUCAUCUACGUACAUUUUCAGAUUCCUUCGAAACUUUACGAGUAUAAUCAAGAUCGCCGGGGUCCCAUUACAAUGUUAAUAUAACACAUACAGUACGUAUAGUACAUACGGAAAAGGUUUGUUAAGUGUGCAAAUAUUUUCGUGAGUCACUGUAUAUGUUCGAGGCAAUUAUUCACAGUAUACGCCAACGUUUUACUGAAAAUGAGCGAGAUAUUUUCAAUAAAUGUCUUGCAACUUCCGUAAACCUUUCUAAAUUCGUUUCCAACUUUACCGCUAUAAUCGCGAUGGACGCGUUUCGUUACGUUACCAAUGGAAUUACAAAACGUUUCCUAUAAUACCGCAUUACGGUUUCUACAAGCGUUCCAAUACCGAGCUACUUCUAUAUUACGUCUGUUUGCAAUAAAUUUCCAUUUAAAAGGAACGAAUAAAUAUGUGUAUAUAUGUUGCACUGGAAUCGCUAAAUCGAAACAGCAGACACACAAAACAAACUCUGUCCCCUGGCAGGUACAAAAAUGUGCGUAGAAUGUCGAACGAAUCGAGACCAAUUAGCGGAAUGGCAAAGAAUGUUAAGCGCCGCGACACCAUUCGUCGCCUCUCUAUUCAUGUGUUCUCCCCGUCCAUGCACUCGCCGCUUUUCGCGCGAUAUUCCCUCUCCCACGUCACCGUUAUUAGCGGCAGCCUGUUUUCUCCCUUUUAACGACUCCCGUCAAUGUCAAUGCCAGAAACGCGUACCGCGAGAUUCUCUCUUCGAGUUUGUUUACGAUCAGGAAGAGAGAGAGAGAGAGAAGUGGACAAAGGAUGAAAAAGAUGGAUGCAUAUGUCACUCUAUUAACAUAAUUAUUGCGAAAACCUUGGAGAUACGUACUAUAUCCUGGCGUAAACUCGACGCAAAUCGAGGCGGUUUGCCGACAGCGAGCGUGUCGUGGGCAUCGAUCGAUGAAUGGUGUUCUCGCGACCAUAGUGGCGCUCGCCUCGAAAACCGUACAUUUUUCACCGGAAACGGUUUAACUCUUUGACGGUGCAAUAAGGCGAUGAAUAAUUCAGAGCGAACGAUUUAGAAGAUAAGUUGUCUUAUUAUUCUUAAGGUCUGCUGCGUUUCUGAUAUCAGAUUUGUUCGACUUAUUAGAAAUAUGAAUUUACUUUAGUGUUGAAGCACGUAAAUUUCAAAUAUUUGUUUCAUUUAACUCGUCGACGGUGUAAUUAAAUUACGAAGAAUGUGAAACGAACAAUUUAGAAAAUAAUUAUGUAACUCGCUAUUCUUAACUCUGCCGCGGUCCUCGAGUUGUUUAUGUCUUAAUCUUACUUUAGCUUCAACCUUAGUUUCGAUCUUGCUUGAAACGAGAUAUCACGCGUAUAAAUAACAGGUCUUUCGUGUUUUGCUCAAAUUUAGGACAAUUUUCUAGCGAUGAACGUACGGUACGCUUGAAAAUGGCUCAAAAGAACCAGCGGCGCGUUAAAACGCGCUUUCCACCGAAAUGGAAAUACCGAUCGUAUAAUAAGCAGAUUGAGCGGAUGGUGAGCUUGCUCCAGAUAUUCUGCAACGAGGUUUAAAGGAAUUCGGCAUUUAUGAAGAGCAACGUGCGAGCAAGCGGAGUCAUCGACGUACGAAACGAGUUCCAAAGGAUUGGAUGAAAUUCAUGGGCGUGUUUUAUGUUCCGAGAUUAAGAGGUGGGGGACAAACGGACGAGAAUUCGAGAACGUUUCGCGUUCGUGGUACAACAGCCUCUUAAUCGAAUAACAGGUGUUCGAAAUGGCCUCACCAGGACUGGUUUACGUCGAUACUUCGUAUCGUCCGAAUCUCGAUGCACGCCAACUCUUGCGCAUCUGUUUGACACGUAAAAAAAAAAAGAGGGGUUAUAAAUAUAGUGUGGCUUCGCGUUCAUUCCCGCUCCUAGGAGAAGUUAAAAGUUGCUCGGCGUAUAAUUCACGCGGUAGCUUUAAGUGGUGAUAUUUUAGAAACAGUACCCGGUAUUUAUUACGUUGCCAUUUUGAAUUUUUCGCCUGAGAUAUGUCUAUAAAUACGUAGGCAUUUAUUUUCGAGUUACCAUAUGAUGAUUACAGGGAGAGGAUGCAAUAAUUACAACUUUGCUAACUUCCUGAUUUUUACGUUACUUAGUGGUGAAAAGAGGGCACUUUAAUAUACCGUGGCUAAAAAGACAUAAUUAAGAGGCGCAACCUACCCGGCCCGAAGAUGUAAGCUCUUUAGCGAUGGAUAUGAAGUUAUAUGAGAGAAAUUAACGGCAUACGAAGAUUCCUUUCCAUUAGUCGCGGUGAUACAGUGCUCUUCAAGGAAUUUUAACAUAUCAUCGUCAUUAAUAUCUGCGUACGAAGUAAAAAAGCAAGGAAAAAAGAAGAAAAACAACUAUAGUAAACAACUUGGUAAGGAGCAGACAGUAAACGACAGGAAGAGACACGCCUACGACAAUUAAAGGCUUAAACGCAUCAUUCUAAUGUGACCAUUAAAACAGUUACACCACCAUCUUCAUUUCUUGUAAUGAUCGUUGAAUCUAAGCGAUUCGAGCAUUGCUUGCGCUAUAAGAGACAAACAAGGGGAAAAACAGAACAUAGAAAAAAAAAACGAGAUAAAAGAUUAGAGAAAACGAGGGAGAGAGAGAGAGAGAGAGAGGAAGGGAAGAAGAAGGCGGAUACAAGCAAAUAAAAUCCGCGUUAAGACAGUAAGCAAACGAACGGCAUUUGCGGUGUAAAUGCGGCUUAAAGAUUGACGCCGCACGAAACAAGCUCGCCCACUCUCAUCGGGCGGAAAACUGCGCUAUCAUCCUUCUACACCACAAUGAUCUUGACAGUGACCGUAGCGAUCAAUGGCGCCGUCAAUUAGGCGAAUCGCGUACUCGGGUUUAUGGCCAACGUAUCGAGGACGCCGAGCCACGCGUUAUCCUGGAAAUUUGACGACUACUAUCAACGUCCAUGUAACAUGGUUCACGCGCUUCUUUCAUUCUACUCUGCGUCUCAGUUCGAAAACUGGAUAUGACCCACUGAGGACUACGCGCAGAAAUAAAACGUAAAUCAAAGUUUCGCCAACAAAACCAAUAGUUUCCUGAGAUUCGUAUGUUUAUUGUAUUCAUAUGCAAAUCGUGACUGUGUUACGUUCUGGGGAAAGGAGAGAUUAAAUUAUGCAAUUCAAAAUAAAUAAUGACUACACCGGCAUUCAAUAACUACGAUACUAUGAGGAGACACGCGAAGGAAUUUCCGGGAGAGAAUAAAAUCAUAGUAAUCUUUAUACACAUGAUAUGACAAGAUCGAUCUAAGGAACAUCUUCUGGUAUUAUAAAACGCUUUUCGAGAACUGGAAUAUUUGUUCACGGAGCAUCGUUCCAGGAGAACGCGUUGCUUUAUAAUAUCGUUGAACUAGCUUGGUUGCCUUCGCGAACGCGAACCCUUUUAUCUCUUUGAAGCUGGUCGGGUUAGAGAGCAGGCCUCGCUUAAUGCAAUAACGUUAAUGCAUCACCAGACAAUUUUUAUUUCGUCCGCACAAAGCACGCUGGCCUUGAAGCGCGGCCGGAAACAAGGUGGAUCGGUGUUAUUGCAAAUCUCUGAGCAGUGAAUCGCGUUAAAGGGAAGAAUGGAGUAAAAAAACAACUAAAGCUCAUCGAUAAUCGUUGAAUAUAGCAGUCUAACAAAUAGGUUUCCAACGUUAAAGGUUUCAUUUGUUGUCGAACGACUCUCGAAUCGAAUUUCUCGCUGAAUUCUAUUAUGGUUACAAGCAGAGUAGAAAAUAAGUAGUUAAAGUAAGUUAAAGUCGAAUCGAACGCGAUAAACGGAAGGGAUGGAGAGGGGGGAGGCGCAAGACCCGUGAGAACCCUCCAGGAAACCGGAAGUGUACGAAAUUAGUCCAAUUUCGUGCGCGACAAGUGGAAAAACGUCGGCCACUGGCAGUGGCGACUCCACUCUCGAGGGCACACGCGUGCCGCAACGGGAAUCCGCUAGGUGACUCGCGUGUGUAUUCGCCGCUUAAACCCCGAUUAGCCUGCUAGAGGGCCUAAUAACGAGUAAUACCCUAGCCGCGUCAUCGAGUUUAAACAGAUUUCGCAACAGCUUGCGACCUCUUAUGCAUAUACGUUCGGACUGACUUGACUGCCUAUUUGGCUGCUGAUUCCUCUUUAAAACCUAAGCAAAUGUUCUAACAUAGACGAAAUUGGUUCACGGUCACCGAGAAUGUGCAAAGUUUAAGGAAGAUCGUUUGAAAUGGACAAACGACUCUAUAUAUAUAUAUAGAUGGCGUAAGGAAGUGGUAAGGAGAACGAACAGCUUGUUUUCUACUCGUCGAUAAAUCUGCGGCUUCUUAUCUGUCAGCAGAAGAUUACAACGAUCGUCCGGCGAUGUUGUAACAACUAACAGCCAAUGAUAUAUUGGACGAACGAACAUUGCUAGACAUUUCUUCAAUGACGAGUGUACCAUGUGAUCUAAACAUACGACGACGCGUUCCUCGAACGUCAUCACUUCGACCCGUGAUCCUCGGACACAUUGGUCGCACAGUGUUGUCAAAUUCAACCUCGAAGAACUUACUCGUUGGUAAAUAUUAUUUACGCGUGUAAGUAGUACGUUCGGUUUAAUAAAACGGAGCUGCUGUACGGGCCGAACUGUUAUUGUUGGCUGCACCGUGGAAGCGAAACUUAUAUCUUCCUCGAUCUAUCCGUCCGCCAAACCAUUCUCGCUCGUAUUAUUAUCUAAACGCGAAUCUUCACCGCCAGCGAAGAAAACAACUCUCGUAGCGUUGCGAACGCUGCCCAUCGCACUUUCCAUCAUUGAGGAGCAUCUACGGGUGAGCACUCGGCGACACCCCGCAGGACGCUUCAGCUGAAAAUCCUCUCAAGCACUGCAAUUGCCGGCAGGAGUUCCCCCCGAGUAUGUAACCGGUCCCAAACACAUUUGCCCGCUUUGGUCUUACGCCACAGACUAUACUCUAUGCAGCACAUAAAUCCCGCAUGAAACCGGGCUUACCAUGGCUACGACCCUAGUGCCAAGGUAUUACGAUUCACCACGUACUACCAGACCGUGCCUACGGUGACACGUAUAUCUUUGAAUUAAUAAAAAUCAUUAGUUUGUUUACCAGACGUAUCAAAGUUAUUGAUGUAGUUAUAGAAUGAAUGGAUAUUGGUUAGGUUCAUGUCGAUUCAUCGCAACUAUAUUAAAUAUAUUUCGAUUCUUGUUUAACCGAAAAUUACUCUUCCGUGUAACAUGUGGCACCGCGUGUGUCGAUACGUAAACGCACGUAUACACACGAUACUUGAGUGAAAAACACGUGCAUAUAGGUUAUGUACGCGGUACGCGAGAAAGAGACGAUGAGAGAAACCGAGCGUAGAAGUAAAGAGACAGGAACAAGUGUAAAGAGAAGGAGAGAAGCAAAGAAGACAGUAAGCUAGUGAACGAGCAACAGAGAAAGAGAGACUAUAAGGACUACUGCCGUUUUAUUGGCAGAGGUGAACGACACUGCCUACUGCAAGGUGGAUGCCUGUAUUUCGCAUAACCGCUCGUCGUUGGAACGUGCUAUGAGUUUAUGGGUCACUACGUACUGUUUUCAAGCACCUUCUUACGAAAAUAGUAUGAAUUCGUUGAAUCGAAAAUAUGUUGACAUCGGAAAGUCGGCAAUGUUUGCCUUUAUUAUGCCUUGUUCAUCUGUGUCUUGUAGUUAAAAAAAACAUUAUUUCUGGAUAAUACAAUAUCAUUAUUACAUCAUCUAAUAUCGAUAUUUCUUGUAAAAAUAAGAAUGGAUAAAAUAAGUGUUCUCGCGUUACAAGCAUGCUCAAGAUGAUAACAAUUACCAAAUAACUGACUUAUAUUAAAACACGCACACGUUGUAUACACCUCUUAAUUUCAAUGCAUACACAUACCCCUAUGGGAUUACCACAUAAACGUGCAGCGACCUUUUUGAAAAUUAAGAAUUCAUUUCACGUACAACUUCUAACUGCAAAAGAUUGUACAGGUUAUGUAAGAGCAAUUCGAAGAACGAACAACAGAGAGGAACGGCCUGAUCAACAAGAGUGGAUUCUGAAUUUAAGAAUAAUCUGAUUUCGUUAACAUUUGCUUAACGACUUAGCAAUCAACAAGAUAAAACAUCAGAGCGAGCAAUAACAAUAUAUGACGUACAGUAACAUGUACAUAACGUGACAGAGAUUUAUAAAAACAGUGUAUGUAAAAAUACAUACAUAUGUACAUAUAUUUAAAUUUUAGUUUUUAAUUCAUAUAGAAUUAUGUGACUGCUUUUUAAACUCAAUAAUGAGCAAUAUUUGCAAUUAAAUUUUUCGGAAAAUCGCCACUAUAAAAUACAAAAUUUAUCUAUCUUUUGCGUUAUGGUCAUCGGCAGUUCUACACGAAAUUUAUAUUGCAGGAAAAUCGGUCGAGUAACGUGAACUGACCUCUGCUUUGCCGCUCCUCAUCGAUUUUCUGAACAUACGUCAAUACGAAGUACGCCAGACACGUAUUCAUGGAAUUAAAUACUACCUUCUUUUUCAAUAGUCGAUAAAUAGAAAUUUCUGUCAGUUUGUAUAGCAGCCAUGUUAAAUAUGUAAGGAAUGAGAAAUAAGAUAUUUUCGGUACAAACGUGCUUAUCUCUAAAUAUUUUGAGGUUAGCUUCGGUAACUUUACGUUAUCUUUAUAUCGAGCAAUCUAAUGUAUAAUAUGCGAAAGCAAUGUAAACUGCGCAUUACUUAAUGCUUUAUCUGACAUUAAAUAUUAAAUAUUAAUAUUGUAUUGUCUUAUGUUCAAUGUAUUUCUACAAAAUUUGUAUCAACUAUGAAGAAUUCAUUUGAUACACUCAUUUAAUUAUUUGAUCGUACAAUUAGUAAAGGAUGUGACAAUUAUAUAAAAAAAGAAUUAAAGAAAAAAUUAAAAUGAAAUGUAUCUCAGAAAUGUAUAUGUUGAAAUCAUUAAUGCAUCACCUGGUAACUUUGUUUAUCACACCAGGGUAUAAUUCCAUUUCAUCUGUAUAUUAUGAUUGCUCAAUAAAAUUACAUAUAUAUUGCCAAUUGUA